rnacentral:rRNA from 1 species
UACGUAGGGUGCGGGCGUUAAUCGGAAUUACUGGGCGUAAAGCGUGCGUAGGCGGUCCGCGAAGUCUGAUGUGAAAGCCCCGGGCUCAACCUGGGAACUGCAUUGGAAACUAACGGGCUCGAGUGUGGCAGAGGGGGGUGGAAUUCCACGUGUAGCAGUGAAAUGCGUAGAGAUGUGGAGGAACACCGAUGGCGAAGGCAGCCCCCUGGGCUAACACUGACGCUCAGGCACGAAAGCGUGGGGAGCAAACAGG